rnacentral:rRNA from 1 species
GCGCACGGGUGCGUAACGCGUAUGCAACCUACCUUUCACAGGGGGAUAGCCCGAAGAAAUUUGGAUUAAUACCCCAUAAUAUUGUUGGAUGGCAUCAUCUGGCAAUUAAAGCUACGACGGUGGAAGAUGGGCAUGCGUCCUAUUAGCUAGUUGGAGUGGUAACGGCACCCCAAGGCUACGAUAGGUAGGGGUCCUGAGAGGGAGAUCCCCCACACUGGUACUGAGACAGGGACCAGACUCC